rnacentral:rRNA from 1 species
AGGAAUACAUCGGAAUCUACUCUGUCGUGGGGGAUAACGUAGGGAAACUUACGCUAAUACCGCAUACGACCUACGGGUGAAAGCAGGGGACCUUCGGGCCUUGCGCGAUUGAAUGAGCCGAUGUCGGAUUAGCUAGUUGGCGGGGUAAAGGCCCACCAAGGCGACGAUCCGUAGCUGGUCUGAGAGGAUGAUCAGCCACACUGGAACUGAGACACGGUCCAGACUCCUACGGGAGGCAGCAGUGGGGAAUAUUGGACAAUGGGCGCAAGCCUGAUCCAGCCAUACCGCGUGGGUGAAGAAGGCCUUCGGGUUGUAAAGCCCUUUUGUUGGGAAAGAAAUCCAGCCGGCUAAUACCCGGUUGGGAUGACGGUACCCAAAGAAUAAGCACCGGCUAACUUCGUGCCAGCAGCCGCGGUAAUACGAAGGGUGCAAGCGUUACUCGGAAUUACUGGGCGUAAAGCGUGCGUAGGUGGUCGUUUAAGUCCGUUGUGAAAGCCCUGGGCUCAACCUGGGAACUGCAGUGGAUACUGGGCGACUAGAAUGUGGUAGAGGGUAGCGGAAUUCCUGGUGUAGCAGUGAAAUGCGUAGAGAUCAGGAGGAACAUCCAUGGCGAAGGCAGCUACCUGGACCAACAUUGACACUGAGGCACGAAAGCGUGGG